rnacentral:rRNA from 1 species
CCUACGGGAGACAGCAGUCGAGAAUCAUUCACAAUGGGGGAAACCCUGAUGGUGCGACGCCGCGUGGGGGAAUGAAGGUCUUCGGAUUGUAAACCCCUGUCAUGUGGGAGCAAAUUAAAAAGAUAGUACCACAAGAGGAAGAGACGGCUAACUCUGUGCCAGCAGCCGCGGUAAUACAGAGGUCUCAAGCGUUGUUCGGAAUCACUGGGCGUAAAGCGUGCGUAGGCUGUUUCGUAAGUCGUGUGUGAAAGGCGCGGGCUCAACCCGCGGACGGCACAUGAUACUGCGAGACUAGAGUAAUGGAGGGGGAACCGGAAUUCUCGGUGUAGCAGUGAAAUGCGUAGAUAUCGAGAGGAACACUCGUGGCGAAGGCGGGUUACUGGACAUUAACUGACGCUGAGGCACGAAGGCCAGGGGAGCGAAAGGGAUUAGAUACCCCAGUAGUC